AUUGCGUAGCUUAAUUAAAUUGCUCAACUUGGUUUCGACCCGAGGUAGUGAGGUCCCUAGAUCUCCAAUU
rnacentral:tRNA from 1 species